UAAUAAGUGUUUAUGGCACUUCUUAAAUCCAUAUCCACCUUGUGUGCAAUGUCAGCCGUUUUCUUAUGAAAGCGGCCAAACAUCAACUUAUUUCUUAACUGUCUGUCUGAAAACUAUUAUGAAUAAACAAUUCAAAUA
rnacentral:misc_RNA from 1 species